GUGGCUAUAGCUCAGUUGGUAGAGCCCUGGAUUGUGAUUCCAGUUGUCGUGGGUUCGAAUCCCGUCAUGCACCCCA
rnacentral:tRNA from 1 species